CUGGAUCUUCCUAGCAACCAAAUAAAAUAUUCUAACAAACUUUUAGAGUGUGGCCAUGCAACGUAACUGACACCCAUGACUAAUAACCUGGUUAGUGGGCAGAUAGCAGGCUUCCAAAAAACAACCACGUGGUAUAGCUGAUACCGAUGACUAACAACCUGAUAAGUGGGCAGAUGGCAGGCAGCCUACCCUGACAGCCUACAGGC
rnacentral:lncRNA from 1 species